UGUUGCAUAGUGUGUUGCCGCGCGCGCAAGGUGGACGGUGUGGCGCGUUCGAGGUUCUCCGUUCUCUAUGUAACGUCUGACGGGAGUUGAUCGUGCAUUUUGCGGAGCGAGGCGGGGAGCGGCGUUACGUGAACUUCCGCAAGUCCGGAAUUCGGGAAAUCGUCGGCGACGCGGCGAUCGGUCCGCAUUUCCUCCGUCAUCGUCGUCGUCGUCGUUGUUGCCGUCGACGACGACGACCGUCGGUUGGCGUUUGAACGCGUAGAAUGGUAACGGAUCGCGGGUAAAUCGGCGCGGGACGGCGGUGCGCGGCAACGCGAAACCGAUUUGGGAUCGAUCUCGACGUCGUGUAUGCCGCGUUCGCGGAAUUGUCAUCGGACGGUCGAGCCAGUCUCCAGGAGUCGAACGGCGCAAUCGAUAAUCCUCCUGCUAUUCCCCUCCUCCCUUCCGCGAGCGCUUUUUGCGCUGGCCGAGAGAGAUCGUAAUGGCGAGAGCGUGGCGUCGAUGGACGACAGGCGGCGAGAGUGGGAGACAGUGGUAAAAACAAUGCUGAAUCGUCAGGGAGUCGCGCAUCGCUGACCAAGCUUCUCUACAGAUAUGGCUAAGGAUUUUGUGCGCCACUUUUAAUUAACACAUCAUCUUUUCAAUAUGGAUGAUGAAGAAGGAGCUUCAAGUUCUGGACCGAUGUCUUCGUUAAAUAGUUUGUUCUCGUUCACCAGCCCCGCUGUGAAAAAACUGCUUGGUUGGAAGCAGGGGGAUGAAGAAGAAAAAUGGGCUGAAAAAGCAGUAGAUUCAUUAGUAAAAAAACUGAAGAAGCGCAAAGGUGCGGUCGAAGAGUUAGAGCGAGCGCUUAGCUGUCCUGGAACACCGAGUAAAUGCGUAACGAUUCCCAGGAGUUUGGACGGCAGAUUGCAGGUUUCUCAUCGCAAGGGUCUGCCACAUGUGAUAUAUUGUAGGGUUUGGCGAUGGCCGGAUCUCCAAUCGCAUCACGAAUUAAAGCCAUUGGAUCUGUGUCAGUUUCCGUUCUCUGCCAAGCAGAAGGAGGUCUGCAUUAAUCCCUAUCACUACAAGAGGGUAGAGAGUCCGGUACUGCCACCAGUGUUGGUUCCUAGACACUCGGAAUAUGCUCCCGGCCAUUCUCUAUUGCCGUUUCAGCAAUUGGCCGAUCCGAGCAUGCCACACAAUGUGUCCUAUUCAUCUAGUGGUUUCAAUGCCAGUUCCACAACCGGUGUAAAUCCGACAUCGCCUAUGUCAUCCGUUGGUUCUGUGCCUAGUCCAGGCAGCACAACCUUGCCAAAUCCUCAAAGUCCAUAUGGUACUAAUGGAUUACCAGAGACACCACCGCCAGCAUACUCUCCACCCGAAGAUGGCUCUCAGACCGGGCAAACCACUUCUUCGGAUUCAGUCCCGAUGGAUACAAGCACGUCCAUCGAAUCAGCCACACCUGUAUGUUACCAAGAACCACCCUAUUGGGCCUCGAUCGCUUAUUACGAGUUGAAUUGUCGAGUGGGCGAGGUGUUUCACUGUCAAACACAUUCUGUCAUUAUUGACGGUUUUACAAAUCCGAGCAACAAUUCCGAUCGCUUCUGUCUCGGGCAGCUGUCCAAUGUAAAUCGAAAUUCUACGAUAGAGAACACGAGGCGACAUAUAGGCAAAGGAGUGCAUCUGUAUUACGUGGGGGGAGAGGUUUAUGCCGAGUGCCUUUCAGAUUCGGCGAUAUUUGUACAAUCUAGGAAUUGCAAUCACCACCACGGCUUUCAUCCCAGCACAGUUUGUAAAAUUCCACCGGGUUGUUCCUUAAAGAUAUUCAACAAUCAAGAAUUCGCCCAGCUUCUGUCGCAAAGCGUAAAUCAUGGCUUUGAAGCUGUCUACGAGUUAACGAAAAUGUGUACAAUUAGAAUGUCUUUCGUAAAGGGAUGGGGUGCCGAGUACCAUAGGCAGGAUGUCACAUCAACUCCCUGUUGGAUUGAGGCACAUCUGCAUGGACCUUUACAGUGGUUAGACAAAGUUUUAACGCAGAUGGGUCCGCCCCAUAACGCCAUAAGUUCUGUGUCAUAAGUAAUAUGCAUCACUAAAAUUUUUAUUUUUUUUUUUUUUUUGUUAAGAAACGAUUAGUUUCGAUGCACUUUUAAGAAUUUAGCUAUAAUUGGCCAUAUUCGCCACACACAUGAGAGUUACGGAGACUGUGCACAGACGAAAUACAAUUACAGUAAGUUGCUUUAUAUCUAUAAUGAAAUGAAUAUGUAAUGCGUUUGAAGAAAAUAUAAAAACUUAAGAGAAGUUACGCGAAAAAAGAUAUUUAUAACGUGAAAGAUAUUUGAGAAAUCUUAUGAUGAUUAUAAGAUGUACAUGUUUAUAGAUGCUGUAAAAACUUUUGUGGCUGUUACACGGAAAAAAAGAAUAUUAUAUAGAUAUAAUCAUAUAUAUAUAUAUACAUCUAUAUAUAUGAAAAAAAUAUUUUUCAGAUCUAUGCAUCAGUCUAAUACUUUAUUUUAUAUGGAGACUUAUUGUGGACAUAUUUGUCAGUGUUAUACUACAAACAAAAUCCUUUUAAUUGAAAUCUUAGACGAUUUUUAAUUGUGAUGAUAAAAAAAAAUUGAUGAAAGUAAAUUCUCCCAAUUAUAGGAAGCGAAAAAAUAUUCUGUUUAAAUCGAGCAUAAUCUAACGAUUAUGCCUGUUAACUAACGUGUGUGCUUUAAAGUACAUUUAUGUCUGUAUAGAUUUAUUCAAAUUUAUCGUUAAAUAACUUUUAAUGUAGUUGCGGGCUUUUAUUGAUACAAUCUAUAUUUCAAUGUAAAAUGUUGGACGUUGAUCUCACGUUGACUAUUGGAAGUUAACUGCGUCCGAUGAAACAUUGAAUUCACUAAUCUGUAGAAAGAUCAUCUACAGUCAUGGCUUAUACUCCAUCUCUAUACAGAUUAUAUUGCAUUGUAUUCUCGAUUAUUGUGCAUCAUGCGAUUCGACGCUUUCCAUAUUACACACAAUUCCUAAGAACAAUACACGAUUAGGGUAGACAAAGUAGGAGGAAAGAAAAUAUUUGCCUAAUUAAAUGUUAAGGAAAGAAUAAGAUGUAAUUUACAGUCGGAUAUAAUUGGAACAAGUUGUUUGGUACAAACGUAAACACCGAUAAAAUAUUUCCAUAUUGCAUAAUGUGGUAUAAUUGCGCUAAGUAUACAACUGAUGGAGACAAUAAUUGACGACUUCAAAAAAAAGCUAAAAUGUAAGAUGCUUUCAGUCCAUUCUAAUAAAAGGAAAUUUAUUGUUUGAUACUGCGAUAAUUAAUCUGAUUGUAUUUUGUAUGAAAGAAUCGAUUCGGUAUUCUAUAUUAGAGAACAAAACUAGAAAUAGAAAAAUGCUAUAAAUUUAUGGCCAUUUUUAUAUCUUUCUUUGAAUCAGUUUCUUUCUGCAAGAUACGAUAUGAUUUUGCUUGAUAUUGAGAAGUGCACACAAAUUAUAGAUCAUUAAUUAGAUCGUAAUCUAUGUGUCGGUGAAUUAUUAAGUAGUGAAUCGAUUAGAAUGGAAUUGCGAAAUUUUUUUAACACAUUGAACUCUGUAGCGUACGAAACGAACACGGUGCAUUACUAUAAGAUAGUACGUGCAGAAGAUAUACGUGUACAUGAAUAGUUUUUCAUAUGCAAGAUAAUGAUUGUAGCUUAUAUCUCACGUUAUCAUCAGUCUUCAUUUUUUUUUUUUUGCUAACUGAAUCGUUAUAGAUUAGUCGCGAAGCCCGUUUACAAAACAAUCUUGCCUGAGUCUUCGAAUCUAAUUUUCGAAAUGAAAUGUAUUUUAAAGUCUACGACAAUUCGAUUUCAAAUUUAGUUUCAAAAAUUGAUGAAGCACUAUACUUUGUUGCGCGCCACCCAACGUCUGUGCCUUGGAUGCCUUUUAUAUUAUGUAGUUAUGUAAACAACCAUAAUGUAAUGCAAUUUUUGAAAUGUAUAAUAGUAAAGUACACAGAAGUUUUCCCAUCCAACAAGAGAUAAAAUUUGUAUGACAAUUCUCUCUCGAUAGUUCACGUGUAAAAUAAAUAUGUAUAGCUC
rnacentral:misc_RNA from 1 species